rnacentral:sRNA from 1 species
GAUGCCAGGGUCAAAAGGUCUAAUCCCAUAUGAGCUUGCUCAUAAAUGGGUGAAAGACCUUAGGACCCACCCCGAUAUGAGCAUAAAAGCGGGAUGAUAAUCCCACGAUAUGCGAAUAGAGGAGAAGGAUUGUGGGAGUGCGGAAUG